GACGAACGCUGGCGGCGUGCCUAAUACAUGCAAGUUGAGCGCUGAAGGUUGGUACUUGACCAACUGGAUGAGCAGCGAACGGGUGAGUAACGCGUGGGGAAUCUGCCUUUGAGCGGGGGACAACAUUUGGAAACGAAUGCUAAUACCGCAUAAAAACUUUAAACACAAGUUUUAAGUUUGAAAGAUGCAAUUGCAUCACUCAAAGAUGAUCCCGCGUUGUAUUAGCUAGUUGGUGAGGUAAAGGCUCACCAAGGCGAUGAUACAUAGCCGACCUGAGAGGGUGAUCGGCCACAUUGGGACUGAGACACGGCCCAAACUCCUACGGGAGGCAGCAGUAGGGAAUCUUCGGCAAUGGACGAAAGUCUGACCGAGCAACGCCGCGUGAGUGAAGAAGGUUUUCGGAUCGUAAAACUCUGUUGGUAGAGAAGAACGUUGGUGAGAGUGGAAAGCUCAUCAAGUGACGGUAACUACCCAGAAAGGGACGGCUAACUACGUG
rnacentral:rRNA from 1 species